GAUGAACGCUAGCGGCAGGCUUAAUACAUGCAAGUCGAGGGACAGCACAGGUAGCAAUACUGGGUGGUAACCGGCAAACGGGUGCGGAACACGUACACAACCUUCCUUUAAGUGGGGGAUAGCCCAGAGAAAUUUGGAUUAAUACCCCGUAAUAUAGUUGAAUGGCAUCAUUUGAUUAUUAUAGCUACGGCGCUUAAUGAUGGGUGUGCGGCUGAUUAGAUAGUUGGCGGGGUACGGCCCACUAAGUCUACGAUCAGUAGCUGAUGUGAGAGCAUGAUCAGCCACACGGGCACUGAGACACGGGCCCGACUCCUACGGGAGGCAGCAGUAAGGAAUAUUGGUCAAUGGACGCAAGUCUGAACCAGCCAUGCCGCGUGAAGGAUUAAGGCCCUCUGGAUUGUAAACUUCUUUUAUUUGGGACGAAAAAGGGCCUUUCUAGGUCAACUGACGGUACCAGAUGAAUAAGCACCGGCUAACUCCGUGCCAGCCGCCGCGGUAAAAC
rnacentral:rRNA from 1 species